rnacentral:rRNA from 1 species
UACGAAGGGGGCUAGCGUUGUUCGGAAUUACUGGGCGUAAAGCGCGUGUAGGCGGGUCUUUAAGUCAGGGGUGAAAUGCCAGGGCUCAACCUUGGAACUGCCUUUGAUACUGGAGACCUUGAGUCCGGGAGAGGUGAGUGGAAUUGCGAGUGUAGAGGUGAAAUUCGUAGAUAUUCGCAAGAACACCAGUGGCGAAGGCGGCUCACUGGCCCGGAACUGACGCUGAGACGCGAAAGCGUGGGGAGCAACAGGG